UGGAAUGGAGUUCAGUAAAGCUGUGGG
rnacentral:piRNA from 1 species